UUGAGGAAGUCGCUGGAAGCUUUCUUUUCCCAGAGCCCAAGCUCGUUUCACCUUUCUCUGGACUCCAUGGAGGCAAAGACGACACAGGAUCAGAGAUCAGAUAUCGGAGGUUCCUCACUUGCCUUCACUGCCCCCUUUGAUGAUCAGUUUUUCUCUUGAAUCUACACACAGACAUGUAUGUUUUACAGGAUUGCAUGAAGGAGUCCAGGUCAGGUGGACAGCCUUCUUCCCACUGUUCACCUAUUUUUAGACGAAGCUCCAGAUUAAGGAGUUUUUCACCCUAUCAUUCAACAGCAUCAAGAGAAGCAGGUCCCUGACGUGCACUCUUCAGACAGAUGAUCUCCUUGACUUUGCUGAGGAAGUGGGCCAGCAUUAUUCCCUAAUGGAAUAUGAGAGAUGUCCCAGAUCAAAUCACUCCAGGACUGAAAGCCAGAGGCACAAUGGGUGCUGGAACAGCGAACUCAUCAGGGAGUCCCAGCAGUCAAGGAUUAACAAUUUCCCGCUGGCAGACGCUGAAGUGCACUCCGUUUUCCCCUGUACUGGCCGGAGAAUAUGUAAAUGAAGCUUACACUUAAAAAUCCCUGGAAAAAUCAGCUAGUGUGGCGCUGGCUUAAGGCGUUUACAUGACCUCAUGCGUUGUCGGCUUAUCAAGCAUAAUCGCUUCUGAAGACAGAUUUAAUCACUGGAGUCAUAUGGAUUUCUUUUAUGCAGCCUUUAUGUGCUUUUUAGACCUUCAAAGUUCAGACCACCAUUCACUUGCACUGUAUGGACCUACAGAGCUGAGAUAAUCUUCUAAAAAUCUUAAUUUGUGUAAUGCAGAAAAAGAAAGUCAGAUACAUCUGGGAUGGCAUUAGGGUUAGUAAAUGAUGAGAGAAAUUUCAAUUCUGGGUGAACUAUCCCUUUAACCCCAAAAUAAAAUUCUGUCAUCAUUAACUCACCCCAAUGUUAUUUCAAACCCAUAUGACUGACUUUCUUCAGUGGAGAAAAUAUGAAAAAUGUUGACGCUGCACAAUUAAAAUGAAUGAAUAGUUACUGAGGCUGUGUCAGUCACUAAUAUUCUGCUUAACAUCUCAUUUUGUGUUCAUGUUCAACGGAAGAAAGUCUUAUAACUUUGAACAGCAAGAGGGUGAGUAAAUGAUCACAGAAUUACCACAUUAACCAUUGGCAAGAUUUUAGAAAGGCUGCAAUACUUAAAAGAGUAGCCUAAAACCAUGCCUAAAUACCACUCAGCUAUCGGGUAACAUUAGUUUCCCCACCCUCGCACCCUAGAUGACGUCAGAUAAAAAGGAAUGUUUCAGAGUAAGCAAGUUAAUACAUUUUGAUAAAAGAUUAAAAAAAAAAAUCUUUGAAUAACAUGUAAAGAUCAUGCACAACAAGACCAGGAAUGUGCAUUAAGAAAGUAAAUAGAGUCCAUUUGAAUUUCAUGUUGACUUAAAACUAGUGUAAAGGGAGUUUUUUUAAUGUAUACAAUAUUUGCCAUUUCUAUUUUUUAGCGUACAUAUUCAAUAUUGUUUCAUACUGGAGGGAUUUCUCUCUGAGUAUUCAUCCUGGUUAUUUCAUUGUACGUGCAUUCGCUAAACAUUUACAUCAUUGCACAUCUAA